rnacentral:rRNA from 1 species
CAGCCGCCACGGUAAUACAGAGGGUGCGAACGUUGCUCGGAAUUACUGGGCGUAAAGCGCGUGUAGGCGGGUCGGCAAGUCAGGCGUGAAAUCCCCAGGCUCAACCUGGGAACUGCGCUUGAAACUGCCGGUCUUGAGUAUCGGAGAGGGUGGCGGAAUUCCUGGUGUAGAGGUGAAAUUCGUAGAUAUCAGGAGGAACACCGGUGGCGAAGGCGGCCACCUGGACGAUAACUGACGCUGAGACGCGAAAGCGUGGGGAGCAAACAGGAUUAGAUACCCGGGUAGUCCCUGUCUCUUAUAC